rnacentral:rRNA from 1 species
GGGUUGUGAGGUUAAGCGACUAAGCGUACACGGUGGAUGCCCUGGCAGUCAGAGGCGAUGAAGGACGUGCUAAUCUGCGAUAAGCGCCGGUAAGGUGAUAUGAACCGUUAUAACCGGCGAUUUCCGAAUGGGGAAACCCAGUGUGAUUCGUCACACUAUCAUUAACUGAAUCCAUAGGUUAAUGAGGCGAACCGGGGGAACUGAAACAUCUAAGUACCCCGAGGAAAAGAAAUCAACCGAGAUUCCCCCAGUAGCGGCGAGCGAACGGGGAGGAGCCCAGAGCCUGAAUCAGCAUGUGUGUUAGUGGAAGCGUCUGGAAAGGCGCGCGAUACAGGGUGACAGCCCCGUACACAAAAGCGCAUGUGCUGUGAGCUCGAUGAGUAGGGCGGGACACGUGGUAUCCUGUCUGAAUAUGGGGGGACCAUCCUCCAAGGCUAAAUACUCCUGACUGACCGAUAGUGAACCAGUACCGUGAGGGAAAGGCGAAAAGAACCCCGGCGAGGGGAGUGAAAAAGAACCUGAAACCGUGUACGUACAAGCAGUGGGAGCACAGGUUUACCUGUGUGACUGCGUACCUUUUGUAUAAUGGGUCAGCGACUUAUAUUCUGUAGCAAGGUUAACCGAAUAGGGGAGCCGGAGGGAAACCGAGUCUUAAUUGGGCGUUAAGUUGCAGGGUAUAGACCCGAAACCCGGUGAUCUAGCCAUGGGCAGGUUGAAGGUUGGGUAACACUAACUGGAGGACCGAACCGACUAAUGUUGAAAAAUUAGCGGAUGACCUGUGGCUGGGGGUGAAAGGCCAAUCAAACCGGGAGAUAGCUGGUUCUCCCCGAAAGCUAUUUAGGUAGCGCCUCGUGAAUUCAUCUCCGGGGGUAGAGCACUGUUUCGGCUAGGGGGCCAUCCCGGCUUACCAACCCGAUGCAAACUGCGAAUACCGGAGAAUGUUAUCACGGGAGACACACGGCGGGUGCUAACGUCCGUCGUGAAGAGGGAAACAACCCAGACCGCCAGCUAAGGUCCCAAAGUCAUGGUUAAGUGGGAAACGAUGUGGGAAGGCCCAGACAGCCAGGAUGUUGGCUUAGAAGCAGCCAUCAUUUAAAGAAAGCGUAAUAGCUCACUGGUCGAGUCGGCCUGCGCGGAAGAUGUAACGGGGCUAAACCAUGCAC